rnacentral:lncRNA from 1 species
AAGAAACGGCGAUUUCGUUACAAGCAUUCGUACAGAGAAUCUGCGUGUACGCCUCGUCGCGGCGAGCGCGCCUAUUAAUCGCUUCAUUAGGAGAAGCCGCCGCGUCGCGGCCGGCAAAUUGGGUAUGCGAUCGGCGGCCGAAAAGCAACAGCGAUCGAAACGGUGAAAUCAAGGUCAGAUCGAUGCAUCACGACCGCGAUCCGCGCGGCCGAGGAAACCGAGGCUUUUAAUCUCGAACGUAACGCCGCGCUCGGCUGCGUCCGCCGCGAGCGAUCUUCCGCUCGCAGAAUUCGAACGCUGCGAUCCGUAUUCGUGGAUUCCGGACGCCGGAGAGCGGAGCUUGUCGCGUGGAAACCUCGCACCUGAGACCAGCGAACUCGGCUUUCGAAUGAUCACGCUUGUCGAUGUUAGGAAUUCGAAGAAGCAGGUCUGCGAGCGAGCAAUUCGUGCCGGCCGAGCUCGACGAUGUACGCGAGAGAUACCGAAGGCAGCUCGCACUUUUUAACGCGCGACGCUCGUCGCGAUUUCUUCUCCGGCACCAGAUAGGCCGCGUUCAGGUGUUCAAGCGUGAUGCAAACGACAACGGGCUAAGCGACGGACUCUGGAUGAAUUCGAGGCCAGGUCGCGGAGAAGCUGCUCGCUUGCUACCCACGGAGCAGUGAUGUAGCUGAAGCGCGCGAAUCCUCACGCGAAUCUCUCCUCGUUGAAGCUUCCCUCUACCAGUCUCGUCAACACAAAGCAAUGUGCGUCGCGAUCACGACUGCCGACUACGAAAGAGAGCAAAACCGUCGAGCUCUUCAAAAUGACGGUUCGGUGAAAGAACAAUAUCGUCGUUGCGGUCAAGUAAUGAAGAACUCUCUCCCCGGAAAGGGUAGAAACGCCGGCUCCUGGGUAUAUUCGUGGAACGCUAAGUAGCACUACAAUACACGACGGCUACGUCCCUGCCGCGGAACUGGUAUACACACGUACACGUGUAUACACAUGCGUGCGCUUAUAUAGUACCGUCGUCGUCUAUCUAGCCCACGCGAUCGGCCGGCGAUAUUAGCCGGCGUAUAAAAUGCAUUUGUGAUCACGCCGGGAAUGUAAACGGCGCGCUCUUCGGGCGUACACGUCCCGCGCGGGCCUGGUUCGAAUUAUCAGCGAUAAAGUAUCGCUCGCUGGCUCGCGGAGCUGAACAAGACAUGACCGGACGAUAUAGAGCGCAAUAAGCGCCACCGCGUCUGUUACGGGUACGAGCCGAUUGCCAAUUCCGCGCGGCUGCAUCAUACGCGCGGCCGCGCGCACGCGUCUAGUUAUAAUAAUGGGUCCCGGAGCGAAAGAAAGACAGAGAGGCUGGGGCGGCAGAGGAGGAGAGAACGAGAGGGAACGAGAGAUAGAGAGACAUUUGAUAUUAGAUGCACGUGCAUAACGAUGCACUUCUCUCGCGGCCAACAGCGCUUGCAUAAUCCCCGCGACAGAAGCCGGUAGCGCGCUACCUGCCGAAUCGUAAAAUGAUCAUAACGCGCUGAAGAUUAAAACGUUCGAAGCGAUGAUUUACCUCGUCGGCUAGCCGCGCACCGGCGAUAUAUCAGCCCGGCGAAUUCUUCACGGAGGGAUGGAGAAAAACGAGCGGACUACCACUGAACGCGGCUGGAUCACGGGCUGGAGUACGGCAGAAAAAAGGGAACGGGAGAAACGGCGAAAUUUGCAUAGGCAUUUAAGAUUCUUAGGGACAUGAGCGCGGAUUAGGAUCGUCGAUACACAGCCGGGUCGUUAAUUGUAUUCACUAGAUAAGAGACCGCGCGCGCGAGAGAAAGAGGAGUGUUCGAGAAAGAG